GUCCGUACGGAAGGAAGGGGGGAUCUUCGGACCUCUCGCUAAUAGAUGAGCCUAGGCCGGAUUAGCUAGUUGGUAGGGUAAAGGCCUACCAAGGCGACGAUCUGUAGCUGGUCUGAGAGGAUGGCCAGCCACACUGGAACUGAGACACGGUCCAGACUCCUACGGGAGGCAGCAGGUGGGGAAAUAUUGGACAAUGGGGGCAACCCUGAUCCAGCCAUGCCGCGUGUGUGAAGAAGGCCUUCGGGUUGUAAAAGCACUUUAAGCGAGGAGGAAGGUUUUAGUUUAAUACACUAAAGAAUUGACGUUACUCGCAGAAUAAGCACCGGCUAACUCUGUG
rnacentral:rRNA from 1 species